rnacentral:rRNA from 1 species
GAUGAACGCUGACAGAAUGCUUAACACAUGCAAGUCGAUGGGGAAGUGGUGCUUGCACCAUGGCAACCAUGGCGGACGGGUGAGUAACGCGUAAGGGACUUACCUGCAGGACUGGGAUAACAGGGGGAAACUCCUGACAAGACCGGAUAAUGUCAUGGAGCUGCAUGGCUUUAUGAUGAAAGGAGACGCCUGCGGAGAGCCUUGCGUCCUAUUAGCUAGUUGGUGGGGUAAUGGCUCACCAAGGCGAAGAUAGGUAGCCGGCCUGAGAGGGUGGACGGCCACAAGGGGACUGAGAUACGGCCCUUACUCCUACGGGAGGCAGCAGUGGGGAAUAUUGGACAAUGGGGGCAACCCUGAUCCAGCAAUUCUGUGUGCACGAAGAAGGUUUUCGGAUUGUAAAGUGCUUUCAGCAGGGAAGAAGUAAGUGACGGUACCUGCAGAAGAAGCGACGGCUAAAUACGUG